UUCCUUCCACAUUUUCAGGGAUCUGGUAUAUUGUGGAACAAGUAUGAUUUUCCUGUAUUCUUGCUCUCGGAGAGUAGUACGAAGACCAUCCAAGAGGUUUCUGAAGAAAUUUUGAAGAGAUAGAGAUCUUAUACCACUGUUGUGGCUGAGUUUGAUCUUGUGAUGCAGACAGUGAAAGCUGGAACUCGUGAUUCAGAAUCUUGUUUGAAAGAGGAGACCUGCCUUCCAUUAGGGGGAUACAGUGUUUGGUCAUCACUUCCUCCGCUUAAUAUCUCCUCCUCAGAUCAGGGUAAGCCUAUUAUAUUGACUGUGGCGUCAAUGGAUU